rnacentral:rRNA from 1 species
AAUGAACGUUGGCGGCGUGGAUUAGACAUGCAAGUCGAGCGAGAACCCAGCAAUGGGGGACAGCGGCGCAAGGGACAGUAAUGUGUAGAUUAUCUGCCCUCAGGACCGGGAUAGCUGCGGGAAACUGCAGGUAAUACCGGAUAACAUCUCCGGAUCAAAGGUGUGAUUCCGCCUGAGGAUGAGUCUACAUCCUAUUAGCUAGUUGGCAGGGUAAUGGCCUACCAAGGCGAUGAUGGGUAGCGGGUGUGAGAGCACGACCCGCGUCAUUGGGACUGAGACACUGCCCAGACACCUACGGGUGGCUGCAGUCGAGAAUCUUCGGCAAUGGGCGCAAGCCUGACCGAGCGACGCCGCGUGUGGGAUGAAGGCCUUCGGGUUGUAAACCACUGUUAGAGGGGAUGAAAUGCAGGUGGGUUCUCCCAUCUGUUUGACAUAGCCUCAGAGGAAGGACGGGCUAAGUUCGUGCCAGCCGCCGCGGUAAUAC